AGGUAGCCUAGUGGUUAGAGUGUAGGGGCGGCAGGUACCCUAGUGGUUAGAGUGUAGGGACGGCAGGUAGCCUAGUGGUUAGAGUGUAGGGACGGCAGGUAGCCUAGUGGUUAGAGUGUAGGGACGGCAGGUAGCCUAGUGGUUAGAGUGUAGGGACGGCAGGUAGCCUAGUGGUUAGAGUGUAGGGACGGCAGGUAGCCUAGUGGUUAGAGUGUAGGGGCGGCAGGUAGCCUAGUGGUUAGAGUGUAGGGACGGCAGGUAGCCUAGUGGUUAGAGUGUAGGGACGGCAGGUAGCCUAGUGGUUAGAGUGUAGGGACGGCAGGUAGCCUAGUGGUUAGAGUGUAGGGGCGGCAGGUAGCCUAGUGGUUAGAGUGUAGG